rnacentral:rRNA from 1 species
AUGAACGCUGGCGGCGUGCCUAAUACAUGCAAGUAGAACGCUGAAGGAAGGAGCUUGCUCUUUCCGGAUGAGUUGCGAACGGGUGAGUAACGCGUAGGUAACCUGCCUGGUAGCGGGGGAUAACUAUUGGAAACGAUAGCUAAUACCGCAUAACAGUAGAUGUUGCAUGACAACUAUUUGAAAGGGGCAAUUGCUCCACUACCAGAUGGACCUGCGUUGUAUUAGCUAGUUGGUGAGGUAACGGCUCACCAAGGCGACGAUACAUAGCCGACCUGAGAGGGUGAUCGGCCACACUGGGACUGAGACACGGCCCAGACUCCUACGGGAGGCAGCAGUAGGGAAUCUUCGGCAAUGGACGGAAGUCUGACCGAGCAACGCCGCGGGAGUGAAGAAGGUUUUCGGAUCGUAAAGCUCUGUUGUAAGAGAAGAACGAGUGUGAGAGUGGAAAGUUCACACUGUGACGGUAUCUUACCAGAAAGGGACGGCUAACUACGUG